rnacentral:ncRNA from 1 species
AAUUUGUUGCCGCCGGGUAAUUAACGUUAUAUUUCAUGUCAUUAGGCCUUUGAAGACGUGGAAUAUAGCGUUUUUUUAUU